GUGUUCACUUUGGCAGCGUUUAUACUAAAACUUGGGAAGAUACAGAGAAGAUUAGCAUGGCCCUUUUACAACGACCACAUGCAAAUUCGUGAAGCGUUCUAUAGUUUC
ensembl:snRNA U6 U6 spliceosomal RNA